CGCGAAUGGCUCAUUAUAACAGCUAUAAUUUACUUGAUCUUGACACAAUCCUACUUGGAUAACUGUGGUAAUUCUAGAGCUAAUACAUGCAUUAAAGCUCUGACCUCACGGGAAGAGUGCAUUUAUUAGAACAAAACCAAGCGGCUUCGGCUGUUUCUGGUUGACUCAUAGUAACUGAGCUGAUCGCACGGUCUUGCACCGGCGACGUGUCUUUCAAGUAUCUGCCGUAUCAACUUUCGAUGGUAGUGUAUCUGACUACCAUGGUGAUCACGCGUAACGGAGAAUAAGGGUUCGGCUCCGGAGAGUUCGCCUGAGAAAUCGCGAACACAUCUAAGGAAGGCAGCAGGCGCGAAAAUUACCCACUCUCAGCACGAGGAGGUAGUGACGAAAAAUAACGAGACCGUUCUCUUAUGAGGCCGGUCAUCGGAAUGGGUACAGUUUAAACCCUUUAACGAGUAUCUAUGAGAGGGCAAGUCUGGUGCCAGCAGCCGCGGUAAUUCCAGCU
rnacentral:rRNA from 1 species